GACGAACGCUGGCGGCGUGCUUAACACAUGCAAGUCGAACGGUGAAGCGCCUUCCUUUUUGGUGAGUGUGGAUGAGUGGCGAACGGGUGAGUAACACGUGAGUAACCUGCCCCCUUCUUCUGGAUAACCGCAUGAAAGUGUGGCUAAUACGGGAUAUUCUGGGUCUGUCGCAUGAUGGGUCUGGGAAAGAUAUUGUUUCGGUGGGGGAUGGGCUCGCGGCCUAUCAGCUUGUUGGUGGGGUGAUGGCCUACCAAGGCGGUGACGGGUAGCCGGCCUGAGAGGUUGGACGGUCACACUGGGACUGAGACACGGCCCAGACUCCUACGGGAGGCAGCAGUGGGGAAUAUUGCACAAUGGGCGCAAGCCUGAUGCAGCGACGCCGCGUGAGGGAUGGAGGCCUUCGGGUUGUGAACCUCUUUCGCCAGUGAAGCAGGCCUGCCUCGUUUGUGGGUGGGUUGACGGUAGCUGGAUAAGAAGCGCCGGCUAACUACGUG
rnacentral:rRNA from 1 species